rnacentral:hammerhead_ribozyme from 1 species
UCACUGCUGAGGACUCCCACAAUAGGACGAAACGGCCGUCCAGUGC